rnacentral:rRNA from 1 species
GGUAAAAAAAAGGUAAGCUACUAAGAGCGAAUGGUGGAUGCCUUGACUGGUAAAGGCGAUGAAGGACGUACUAGACUGCGAUAAGCUACGGGGAGCUGUCAAGAAGCUUUGAUCCGUAGAUUUCCGAAUGGGGCAACCCAAUGUAUAGAGAUAUACAUUACCUAUAUAGGAGCGAACGAGGGGAAUUGAAACAUCUUAGUACUCUCAGGAAAAGAAAUCAAUAGAGAUUGCGUCAGUAGCGGCGAGCGAAAGCGCAAGAGGGCAAACCCAGUGCUUGCACUGGGGGUUGUAGGACUGCAAUGUGCAAGAGGUAAGUUUAGCAGAACAUUCUGGAAAGUAUAACCAUAGAGGGUGAUAGUCCCGUAUGCGAAAAACAAACCUUAGCUAGCAGUAUCCUGAGUAGGGCGGGACACGAGGAAUCCUGUCUGAAUCCGGGUCGACCACGAUCCAACCCUAAAUACUAAUACCAGAUCGAUAGUGCACAAGUACCGUGAGGGAAAGGUGAAAAGAACUGAGGUGAUCAGAGUGAAAUAGAACCUGAAACCAUUUGCUUACAAUCAUUCAGAGCCCUAUGUAGCAAUACAGGGUGAUGGACUGCCUUUUGCAUAAUGAGCCUGCGAGUUGUGGUGUCUGGCAAGGUUAAGCAAACGCGAAGCCGUAGCGAAAGCGAGUCUGAAUAGGGCGCUUAGUCAGAUGCUGCAGACCCGAAACGAAGUGAUCUAUCCAUGAGCAAGUUGAAGCUAGUGUAAGAACUAGUGGAGGACUGAACCCAUAGGCGUUGAAAAGCCCCGGGAUGACUUGUGGAUAGGGGUGAAAGGCCAAUCAAACUUCGUGAUAGCUGGUUCUCUCCGAAAUAUAUUUAGGUAUAGCGUUGUGUCGUAAUAUAAGGGGGUAGAGCACUGAAUGGGCUAGGGCAUACACCAAUGUACCAAACCCUAUCAAACUCCGAAUACCUUAUAUGUAAUCACAGCAGUCAGGCGGCGAGUGAUAAAAUCCGUCGUCAAGAGGGAAACAACCCAGACUACCAGCUAAGGUCCCUAAAUCUUACUUAAGUGGAAAACGAUGUGAAGUUACUUAAACAACCAGGAGGUUGGCUUAGAAGCAGCCAUCCUUUAAAGAAAGCGUAAUAGCUCACUGGUCUAGUGAUUUUGCGCGGAAAAUAUAACGGGGCUAAAGU